GAUGAACGCUGGCGGCGUGCUUAACACAUGCAAGUCGAACGAAGCUGCCCAAAGGAAGUUUUCGGAUGGAAUUUAGGUAGACUUAGUGGCGGACGGGUGAGUAACGCGUGGAUAACCUGCCUUAUACAGGGGGAUAACGGAGAGAAAUUUCCGCUAAGACCGCAUAAGACCACAGCACCGCAUGGUGCAGGGGUAAAAUAUUUAUAGGUAUAAGAUGGAUCCGCGUCCGAUUAGCUUGUUGGUGAGGUAGAGGCUCACCAAGGCGACGAUCGGUAGCCGGCCUGAGAGGGUGAACGGCCACAUUGGGACUGAGACACGGCCCAAACUCCUACGGGAGGCAGCAGUGGGGAAUAUUGGACAAUGGGGGGAACCCUGAUCCAGCGACGCCGCGUGAGUGAAGAAGUAUUUCGGUAUGUAAAGCUCUAUCAGCAGGGAAGAAAAUGACGGUACCUGACUAAGAAGCCCCGGCUAACUACGUGCCAGCAGCCGCGGUAAUACGUAGGGGGCAAGCGUUAUCCGGAUUUACUGGGUGUAAAGGGAGCGCAGACGGCGAAGCAAGUCUGAAGUGAAAUGCAUGGGCUCAACCCAUGAAUUGCUUUGGAAACUGCUUGGCUUGAGUGUCGGAGGGGUAAGCGGAAUUCCUAGUGUAGCGGUGAAAUGCGUAGAUAUUAGGAGGAACACCGGAGGCGAAGGCGGCUUACUGGACGACAACUGACGUUGAGGCUCGAAGGCGUGGGGAGCAAACAGG
rnacentral:rRNA from 1 species